GUAGUCAUGGCUGAGUGGUUAAGGUGAUGGACUAGAAAUCCAUUGGGGUCUCCCUGCGCAGGUUCAAAUCCUGCCGACUACG